AGGCGCGAGAUGUAAGGGAUCAGCGGCAGGUUCAACACCAGAAGAACAAUGUUGCCGAUAUACAUCGAAAUAAUAACCGACCAGAAGACUUCUGGCUGCUCAACAAACAGACGCGGGCC
rnacentral:ncRNA from 1 species